CCUACGGGGGGCAGCAGUGGGGAAUCUUGCGCAAUGGGCGAAAGCCUGACGCAGCCAUGCCGCGUGAAUGAUGAAGGUCUUAGGAUUGUAAAAUUCUUUCACCGGGGACGAUAAUGACGGUACCCGGAGAAGAAGCCCCGGCUAACUUCGUGCCAGCAGCCGCGGUAAUACGAAGGGGGCUAGCGUUGCUCGGAAUUACUGGGCGUAAAGGGAGCGUAGGCGGAUAGUUUAGUCAGAGGUGAAAGCCCAGGGCUCAACCUUGGAAUUGCCUUUGAUACUGGCUAUCUUGAGUAUGGGAGAGGUAUGCGGAACUCCGAGUGUAGAGGUGAAAUUCGUAGAUAUUCGGAAGAACACCAGUGGCGAAGGCGGCAUACUGGCCCAUUACUGACGCUGAGGCUCGAAAGCGUGGGGAGCAAACAGGAUUAGAUACCCUGGUAGUCCACGCUGUAAACGAUGAGUGCUAGUUGUCGGCAUGCAUGCAUGUCGGUGACGCAGCUAACGCAUUAAGCACUCCGCCUGGGGAGUACGGUCGCAAGAAUUAAAACUCAAAGGAAAUUGACGG
rnacentral:rRNA from 1 species